rnacentral:rRNA from 1 species
UGGGGAAUUUUCCGCAAUGGGCGAAAGCCUGACGGAGCAAUACCGCGUGAGGGAGGAAGGCCCUUGGGUUGUAAACUUCUUUUCUCAGGGAAGAAGCAAGUGACGGUACCCGAGGAAUCAGCAUCGGCUAACUCCGUGCCAGCAGCCGCGGUAAUACGGAGGAUGCAAGCGUUAUCCGGAAUCAUUGGGCGUAAAGCGUCCGCAGGUGGCGCUUCAAGUCGGCUGUCAAAGACCGGAGCUCAACACUGGAAAGGCAGUGGAAACUGAAGAGCUAGUGUGCGGUAGGGGUAGAGGGAAUUCCCAGUGUAGCGGUGAAAUGCGUAGAGAUUGGGAAGAACACCAGUGGCGAAGGCGCUCUACUGGGCCGUAACUGACGCUGAGGGACGAAAGCUAGGGGAGCGAAAGGGAUUAGAUACCCCCGUAGUCC